rnacentral:rRNA from 1 species
GACGAACGCUGGCGGCGUGCUUAACACAUGCAAGUCGAACGGAAAGGCCCUGCUUUUGUGGGGUGCUCGAGUGGCGAACGGGUGAGUAACACGUGAGUAACCUGCCCUUGACUUUGGGAUAACUUCAGGAAACUGGGGCUAAUACCGGAUAGGAGCUCCUGCUGCAUGGUGGGGGUUGGAAAGUUUCGGCGGUUGGGGAUGGACUCGCGGCUUAUCAGCUUGUUGGUGGGGUAGUGGCUUACCAAGGCUUUGACGGGUAGCCGGCCUGAGAGGGUGACCGGCCACAUUGGGACUGAGAGACGGCCCAGAAGCCUACGGGAGGCAGCAGUGGAGAAUAUUGCACAAUGGGCGGAAGCCUGAUGCAGCAACGCCGCGUGCGGGAUGACGGCCUUCGGGUUGUAAACCGCUGUCGACUGUGACGAAGCGUGAGUGACGGUAAUGGGUAAAGAAGCACCGGCUAACUACGUG